UACGUAGGGGGCAAGCGUUGUCCGGAAUCAUUGGGCGUAAAGCGCGCGUAGGCGGCCCGGUCAGUCCGUCGUGAAAGUCAAAGGCUCAACCUUUGAAUGUCGAUGGAUACUGCCGGGCUAGAGUCCGGAAGAGGCGAGUGGAAUUCCUGGUGUAGCGGUGGAAUGCGCAGAUAUCAGGAGGAACACCAAUAGCGAAGGCAGCUCGCUGGGACGGUACUGACGCUAAGGCGCGAAAGCGUGGGGAGCGAACAGG
rnacentral:rRNA from 1 species